GUAGCGGUGGAAUGCGCAGAUAUCAGGAGGAACACCGAUGGCGAAGGCAGUUCUCUGGGCCGUUACUGACGCUGAGGAGCGAAAGCGUGGGGAGCGAACAGGAUUAGAUACCCUGGUAGUCCACGCCGUAAACGUUGGGAACUAGAUGUGGGGACCUUUCCACGGUCUCCGUGUCGCAGCUAACGCAUUAAGUUCCCCGCCUGGGGAGUACGGCCGCAAGGCUAAAACUCAAAGGAAUUGGAGGGGGCCCGCACAAUCGGCGGAGCAUGCGGAUUAAUUCGAUGCAACGCGAAGAACCUUACCAAGGCUUGACAUAUACCGGAAACUUCCAGAAAUGGUUUCCCCGCAAGGUCGGUAUACAGGUGGUUCAUGGUUGUCGUCAGCUCGUGUUGUGAGAUGUUGGGUUAAGUCCCGCAACGAGCGCAACCCUCGUUCUAUGUCGCCAGCACGUCAUGGUGGGAACUCAUAGGAGCCUUCCGGGGUCAACUCGGAUGAAGGUGGGGAUGACGUCAAAUCAUCAUGCCCCUUAUGUCUUGGGCUUCAUGCAUGCUACAAUGGCCGGUACAAAGGGCUGCGAUACCGUAAGGUGGAGCGAAUCCCAAAAAGCCGGUCUCAGUUCGGAUGAGGUGUGCAACUCGACCUCAUGAAGUCGGAGUCGCUAGUAAUCGC
rnacentral:rRNA from 1 species